rnacentral:rRNA from 1 species
AAAAGAAUACGAAUAUUAGGUAGUAACAGUUGUCUUAAAACUUAAAGAAUUUGGCGGUGUUUUAAACUUAUCAGAGGAACUUGUUUUAUAAUCGACAAUACUCGACAAAUCUUACUUAAAUUAAUAGCUUGUAUAUCGUUGUGGUAAUAAUAUUUUAUAAUUAUUAUUGAAGAUAAUUUUAUUUUUAAUAUCAGAUCAAGGUUCAGUUUAUGUUUAAGUAAAAAAUGAGUUACAAUAUAAAAAUAUAUUAUGGAAUUUAAUAUUAAAAAGUAAGUGAAAGAGGAUUUGAAAGUAUUUUUAUAAUAAUGUGUUAAAUUGAAUUAGCUCUAAAACAUGU